GUUUUUUCAUUUGAAGUAAAUGGUCUUCAGGGUUGUCACCCUCAUCAGCAGCAUGUGGUGGCUGCAGUGUAGACUGUCUGCCACAGUAGCUGGCUGCUCUAGCGCCCAUCUAACACAGAAUGGCUUUUAUAUAGCUGAGAAGCUGUUUUCUUGGGUUGGCGGUUACUGUUACUCAGCGAUUUGAUACUGGCUACAGCGAUUUGGAUAAGGCCUGAACCCCGGUUGCACAAAGAUGGAUGAAAUUCUGGAAUGUGUGACCUUGCAGUGGGUUACUGUCACAUUUGCUGAAGUCUAAUUCACUGUCUGUUCUUUGAAGGUAAGAGGAAUGAGAUCUUUAGAUGAUUUUACUUCAUGUGUUCACAGUGACUUCUCUGACGUGCUAGAUUUAUUUCCUCAUGUGACCACAGGCAAUAUGUUUCUUCCCUGAAGAAGUUAAUGGCCAUUUAGUGUCUUUUCUACUUGUAUAUAUGUGGUCUUAUAAAUAAAGCUGUUUCUAGGACAGCAGUGUAUCUGAACUUAAUCUUUUGAUUCCUGCAUAGUUUCUCAGUCUGUAGAGGUAGUAGUAUCUUGACUUUAAUGAAGUUGAUAGAUGUGCCAAAAUAACAUCUGGAUUCUCAGCUAUUUGGGUCACCAGAAGGAACGAUUUGAUUUAGCUUUUAUGCAGUGGAUAAAAUAAAGGCUUUAGUCAUUGCUUGGAACACUUCUCUUAAUACAGAUGCAGCCUUUUUCUGUAAAAAUGAGGCACAUCAGCCUCUGAGAGGGCCUGCUUCGCUCUUCCCCUCCAUAGGGAAAUGCGUAGGACAUGUUCACCUACAACCAUCUUUCUUGCCUGUGAAGGUUUUCCUUUUGGAAGCCCUUUCCAGGAGUAUGAGACAGAAGAGCACUACCUGCCUUUGGACUUCAGCAUCUUUACAGCCAGUGAACAAUCAGAGUUGUCAUCUGAUGAAUAACGUGCCUAACAGUUCUCACCUGCUAUGCACACUUCCAGUUCUGAAGUGACCUGAUCUGGCUACUGUUAAAAUCACGGGCCCUUCUGAUACCUUUCUGAUGGCUCAGUUUCCUAUGCCAGAAAAAGAAAACAUUAAUACAUUACAAAACAAUUUUCAGCCCUGAGGUAACGCAUGAAGUAAAUGUGCAAGAGAGAACCUGUAAUGGAUUAAGAGAAGGAAGGAAGGAAGCUGUGU
ensembl:lncRNA